UCCCUCAGAAUGGUUGGAAAUCAUUCGUAGAGUGCAAAGGCAUAAGGGAGCUUGACUGCGAGACCUACAAGUCGAGCAGGGACGAAAGUCGGGCUUAGUGAUCCGGUGGUUCCGCAUGGAAGGGCCAUCGCUCAACGGAUAAAAGCUACCCCGGGGAUAACAGGCUUAUCUCCCCCAAGAGUCCACAUCGACGGGGAGGUUUGGCACCUCGAUGUCGGCUCAUCGCAUCCUGGGGCUGUAGUCGGUCCCAAGGGUUGGGCUGUUCGCCCAUUAAAGCGGUACGCGAGCUGGGUUCAGAACGUCGUGAGACAGUUCGGUCCCUAUCCGUCGUGGGCGUAGGAAAUUUGAGAGGAGCUGUCCUUAGUACGAGAGGACCGGGAUGGACGCACCGCUGGUGUACCAGUUGUUCUGCCAAGGGCAUAGCUGGGUAGCUAUGUGCGGAAGGGAUAAGUGCUGAAAGCAUCUAAGCAUGAAGCCCCCCUCAAGAUGAGAUUUCCCAUAGCGUAAGCUAGUAAGAUCCCUGAAAGAUGAUCAGGUUGAUAGGUUCGAGGUGGAAGCAUGGUGACAUGUGGAGCUGACGAAUACUAAUAGAUCGAGGACUUAACCAUAUA
rnacentral:rRNA from 1 species